UAUGUUAUAUUUUAGAUGUUUUUUUUGUCAUUUAUUUAUUAUUUUUGGUUAUCCAUUGUUCUCCAUCUUCCUUUUUAUUUUUCUCUUAACAGCAGCCAACAUCCAGCAAACCCAAAGGCUCUGCAUCACCCACCCUGCAUCACAGCCAACAUCCAACAAACCCAAAGGCUCUUUUAAGAGCCGCCCACCCUGCAUCACAGUAGAUUGGUUGCCUUGUCAAUCUAUUGCCAUUCAUAUCUGCUGAAGCUCAGCAUUGUUGGUCAUAUCUGGUGAGGCUCACCAUUAGAUUGGACGUCUUGUCCAUCUAGUGUUGGUCAUAUCUGGUGCAGCUCACUAUUUGAUUGGAAGUCUUGUCCAUCUAGCAGCUUGCUAACGCACCUGAAAAAAAGAGCCAGAAACCCAAACUUUGAACCUGAAAACCAAACCCAAACUUUGAACCCAAAAACCAAACCCAAACUUUGAACCCAAAAACCAAACCCAAACUUUGAACCCAAAAACCAAACCCAAACUUUGAACCCAAAAACCACCUCAAGAAAAGAACUCAAAUUGUUUUGCAGUGCCAGAAAGCCUGACAGAGGGACCAGUUACAGCUCCAGUCUGCCCUGCUGCCUUCUUGAUCAACACCGAUCUGAGGACUACGUUGGAAAAUCAGCAUCAUCAACACACACACACACACACAGUCAUUUGUUUUAUAACCAACUGUUUGGCUUUACAUUACAUAGUGUUCAUUUUCUAUAGUCGUGUAUAUUACAUAAUCAACUUUAUUUAGCUUUUGUGUUAAUGACUUUGCUUAUCAUUAAGUCUAACAUAUUUUGGUGAUAUCCGUGUUUAGCAUUUUUUGAACUGCCUUUCAGUUUAUGUCGUCUUGUAUAGCAUAUUUAACCAUACAGUUUACGUUUUAAUUCCAUUUCAUAUAAAAUUUAAAUACUUUGAGGUAAAUUGUCUAAUCUAAUAUCUUCUUUUACUAUACAAUAUAUUGAAGAAUAAAUAAACUGUUGAUCCCUUUUGCAUUCAUCAGUUAAACAUUUUUGUGUAUUAUUUUUAGUAAAUUUACUUAAGUGUUUAUACAUUGUUUCUUGGUUGACGGAUAGUUGAUAUCCAACUGUGGUACUGUCAUACGAUUAACAAUAGCAGCUAUCAUUCGGUGAGUAACUGUUUUUAUUAGCGUUUCACAAAUAUCUGCUGUUUGCUCUCAUAACCCAGCGUCGUCAUAAUGCCAAA